AUUGUGUGAAAAUCAGCUCAGAACUUCAAUUUAUUUGUUCCUGUGGAUGCUGCCUAUCGAUAUUUGGAGACCAGGACCUCCACAGAGAGGGAAGGGAAUGCCAAAGCAAUGAAGGCUCCUAAUUUAACUCACCUUUCAGAGGGUUUUCACAUCACUUGGCUGAUUUGUCAGACGCUAAAGUUUCAGAAAUACUGACAUUCUUCAGACACUUCUAAGUGGAGCAAGACAGGGAACAGAAUCUUUAAUGGUAAUUUUGGUGAUUGAAAGGUAAGGAAAUUUGUAUAUCUGAGGAACUGUUGCCCCCUGGCAGGGGCCAGUAUAUUAGGUUGCAAAUUGUCUCUUACAGCGAUACCUUGGAUAGGAACAACAGUACCAGCAGUAUAGUGUUCUUGGCAUUUCCUUUUCCAGACGUGGAUCCGUGCAUGGUGCUUUCUGAGCAUGUGCAUGAGUCUAUGCAUUUUCUCUUGUUUUUGCUGUCCUCCUCCUACGUGCCCAAAAUAUCCCAAAUUGCUGCCAGGCAAUUUUUUUCACUCAAGAGGUAUUGUAUAGAAAUAAUUUGUUACUUAGUAGGUGAUUUUGUUAUGCUUUACAAAGUUUUCCAUGGGCUAGGAUAUUCCUCUGCAAACGGCAAGACUCUCUUGGCAGAAGUGAACGAAUUCUGGUCUUCCUAGAGAAGUCAUUGAAGGGAACACAGCUGAAACGUGUCAGACCCCUUCGUUGUGAAGCAUAUACAGAUUGCCAGGGCACUCUUGGAAAUGGAGCACUUGACUCUUGGUGGGUUACUACAGAGCAAAUUUGAAAUCAAGGUUCUCCCAAUUUGCCAGACUAUAAAUAAAUGUUAUCAAUACCAAGAUAUGGAUUAACUCUGUGACCUUUUGAUGAUUUUGGUAACCUCCAGGACAAACAGCUCCAAUAUAUUAUCCAUAUUAUGGGAAGCUCCUCCUUUCUGUAGUGUUUUGAUGUUCCUUUGGCUCCUUGUGUCUUAAUCCAAGGUAUGUUUGCUAAAUUUGUCUUUCACUGCUGAUCUGACUGUUUCUCUGUUUUGGAACUACUCUGGUAGUUCCCCAUUUCCAGUCACAUAUGGUGACUGGCAGCAUGAACCGCAGGCCGUCACCACCAUGAUCUUCAUAGGUUGGUGCUCUGAAUUCUGGGUUGGCGGAUUCCUGGCUCCUUCAAGCACUUACAUCUUCCUUCCAACUUGCAGCUAGGGAGAUGUGAGGCAAGAAGGGAAACAAGCUCAUUUGAGUCAAACCUGCACGUGGCCAAAGUUAGCAACCUUUAUAGUUCUUCAUGUUGCCUAGGUCCUGAUAUUUCUCCUCUUCAUUCUUAGAGUCCUGGGUAUAACUGGGAAAAGUCUUUGGAGUGCAUCACGGAUGGGAAUGUGGACUGAGGCUGAUGGUCUAAAUCAAGAGAAGUCACAGAAUGGGUCAGGAUGGGACCACAGUGGGUCAUCCCGCCCAAUCUCCCUACUCAAGCAGUGUCAUCCCAGAGCACAUUGCAGAGGAUUGUGUCCAGGUGGUUCCUGAGCAUCUCCAGUGAGGGAGACUCCACAACCUCUCUAGGCAAUCUGUUAAGCUGUUCCAGUGCUCCCAGAAAUAGGGAUUUUUUUUUCUGUGAGAAUUCUAUGUCUAAAUAUUCCUGCAUGUAAUCUCAACUUUGGUUGUUUUACUUGUUCCCAAGUGGCUUGGCAUAGCUGAGAUUAAGGUGGCCUUUUUACUGGAUGAUCCAUACCACAGCCCUGCAUCCCAAAGGAUAUUAACAAGAAGAGCGGACGGGCAAGGGCUAGGGAACACUUGAUGGCUCUAUGCAGGAUUGCAUUACAGAGUCUGAGAUGGACAGUGCCUGCAAGUGAACACAGGCAGGGCAGAAGCUGCCUUGGGUUCGUGCCUGCUGGGCUGUGACAUGAACUGGGUUUUCCUGUCUUGCAACAUUUUUUGAAAUGUCAAAAAAUUUCUCAUUCUGCA